rnacentral:rRNA from 1 species
UAGUACGGCGAGUGAAGAGGGAAGAGCCCAAGAUUGAAAGCUGGCGUCUUCGGCGUCCGCAUUGUAAUCUCAAGAAGUGUUUUCCGCUUCGGACCAUGCCUAAGUCCCUUGGAAAAGGGCAUCAUAGAGGGUGAUAAUCCCGUACAUGGCAUGGAGCGCCCGAAGCUUUGUGAUACGCUUUCUAAGAGUCGAGUUGUUUGGGAAUGCAGCUCAAAAUGGGUGGUAAAUGCCAUCUAAGGCUAAAUAUUGGGGAGAGACCGAUAGCGAACAAGUACAGUGAUGGAAAGAUGAAAAGAACUUUGAAAAGAGAGUUAAACAGUACGUGAAAUUGCCAAAAGGGAAGGGUAGGAGGUCAGAGAUGCGGCCUAGGAUUCAGCCUUGCUUUUGCUUGGUGUUUUUCCCAGAUUGCAGGCCAACGUCGGUUUUGGGCACUGGAGAAGGGUAGGAGGAACGUGGCACCUCUCGGGGUGUGUUAUAGCCUCCUACUGGAUACAGCGACCGAGACCGAGGACAGCAGCGUACUCGCAAGAGCGGGCCUUCGGGCACCUUUACGCUUAGGGCGUUGGCAUAAUGGCCCUCUACCACCCGUCUUGA